AUGCAAGUCGGACGGUAACAGGAGAGAAGCUUGCUUUUCUUGCUGACGAGUGGCGGACGGGUGAGUAACGCGUGGGAAUCUACCCUUUAGUUGGGGACAACAUAUGGAAACGUAUGCUAAUACCGAAUAUGCUCUACGGGAGUAAAGGUGCCCUCUCCUUGGAAGGUAUCGCUAAAGGAUGAGCCCGCGUUAGAUUAGCUAGUUGGUAGGGUAAAGGCCUACCAAGGCGACGAUCUAUAGCUGGUUUGAGAGGAUGAUCAGCCACACUGGGACUGAGACACGGCCCAGACUCCUACGGGAGGCAGCAGUGGGGAAUAUUGCACAAUGAGGGAAACCUUGAUGCAGCCAUGCCGCGUGUGUGAAGAAGGCCCGAGGGUUGUAAAGCACUUUCAAUUGUGAGGAAGAUUAAGUAGCUAAUACCUGCUUAGUUUGACGUUAACUUUAGAAGAAGCACCGGCUAACUCUGUGCCAGCAGCCGCGGUAAUACAGAGGGUGCAAGCGUUAUUCGGAAUUACUGGGCGUAAAGCGCGCGUAGGCGGACUGUUAAGUCGGUUGUGAAAGCCCUGGGCUCAACCUAGGAACUGCAUCCGAUACUGGCAAUCUAGAGUUUAAGAGAGGGAAGUGGAAUUCCAGGUGUAGCAGUGAAAUGCGUAGAUAUCUGGAGGAACAUCAGUGGCGAAGGCGACUUCCUGGCUUAAAACUGACGCUGAGGUGCGAAAGCUUGGGUAGCGAACGGGAUUAGAUACCCCGGUAGUCCAAGCCGUAAACGAUGUCAACUAGCUGUUGGUCUUAUUAAAAAGAUUAGUAGCGCAGCUAACGCGAUAAGUUGACCGCCUGGGGAGUACGGUC
rnacentral:rRNA from 1 species